GAAAUGUGAUACUUGGUGUGAAUUACAAAAUCCCGUGAACCAUCGAGUCUUUGAACKCAAGUUGCGCCCGACGCCAUUAGGCCGAGGGAACGUCUACCUGGGUAUCAUGCGACAUCGCCAUCGCCUAUCCCACGGGCGCGGUUGAUGAUGGCUUCCUGGGAGCC
rnacentral:rRNA from 1 species